rnacentral:lncRNA from 1 species
CCUAAUCCCCUUUUCUCUCCUCUCUCGUUUUCUCUCUUCCACGGUAGCAGUUUAGAGCGGCGACAGGGGCCAGCGAGACAUGAUGGCAGAGGCUAGUUCUUGAGACCAUGGCUGUGUUUUUUGGCAUUUUCUGCCCUAAUAAUGGUUACCCUUAAGCUUUAAGUUGCCACGGCCACAUGGUACUGAAAGGGGUAAAAGUGUGAUUCCACGGUAACACCAAAUAAAUAAAAAGAAGCCGCAACAACCUGAAACACUCUACCCGCGUGAUUCGGCCGAAAAGCGAAGUUCAUAGUUCAUCACCAUCUCAUCAUUUGACCAACCACCUUCGAACUUAAGCCCUCUCCUCCAAAGGGCGAAACAGAUAUUUGUGUUUCCUUAUCUAGUUGCAAACUGCUACCCAUUGAGUUUCACUGUUUGAGUUGAUGAAUGAGAUUGAUUAUCUUGCUUGAUCACGAGGACCAUAAAGAGCCGCUAUAGUCUUCUCUUCACACUAUUUGGUAAGCAUCUGUAUCUGAGCUUUUGGAGUAAUCGGUUUUUUGUUAUAAAGGGAGUCGUUAUUAUGCUGGCUUUCUACAACUAACUGAGUACUUCUAAGAUAAUAAGCUUAGGAUCAGUGCUUCAAAUUGCGGAUCAGAUCAUAUGAUGUGGCAACAAUAUUGUGUUUGUGGUGACGGCUGCAACCGCAUUACAUCACAAUUGUGGUGUGACACUGAUUCACGAUGACGUGGCUGCACCGGGCUGCAAUACAUCACCAUCAGAAUGCAUUUCGGUCACAUAAGGCUGCAUCAGACCUGAUCAAAUUCAAAAAUAUUUUUUUAAAUCACAACAUAAUUAUCAUCCCACAAUCUGCAUCACAACGGCCACAGUUGCAGUAACCGCAACCAUGACUGAAAUCCCGACCACAACCGCAAUUAAAACACGGCUAAUGAUAUUUGUCUCUGUAUGAUUUAUAAUUGAUCUUCAUAAAUGUUUGUUUUUUCUGCCUGAUAGUUUCAUUUUGAAAACAAGUAUAGCCACAGCAGUUGCGAGUUUUGUCAUUGCAAAGUCACCACAACAAUAAUCUAAAACCAUAAAUCUGCUAACAAACUGAUACAGUGAUAAGUUAGUUUCAUAUCAUCGAUGGAAUAGGAAAAUGUCCCUGUCAGAAUUUAUCCAUGUUCCUUUUGGAUUCCUGGAUUUUAUAUUCCCUAUCAGACGGCUUUUAAUUCAGUUGAACAGGCUUUUGUCUUCAGUUUUAGUUGUUCAGCAGCAAGUUAUUUUGGACCGCAGGUUUUGGCUGGUCUAACAAUUCGCUUUUCUUGUUAGCUUGUUAGUCCAGAAUCCUUCAAGGGGAGAGAGUGGAUGUAAAAUAUUUAUUUUCAUUUAAUUUUGAAAGAGUGUUGUUCUCUACUCCUAUGUGUGUGUAUGUUUUUGAACCAUCUUUCUUUUUAGUGACGGACCCAGGAAUGUUUAGGUAGUAGGGGCAAAGGCAAUAACCGAGUACAAAUAUAUUGGAGUGAAAAUGACAAAUGGCUUUCAUGUGUAGUAAAUUAAUUCCGAAGUUGAGUGGGUGUGUCCCCAACAUCUCUACUGUGGGUCCGUCCCUGCUUCAUAUACAUUUCAGGGACGGGAAUGCAUGCCAUAUCCUUAUGAUUUACUGAAGUGAAGUCGAGCUAGAAUGAGCAGAACUGGUUAACAACUUAGGACUUAGUGAAGUAAUGAUACCAAUUACGCUGUCUUGACUUGUUACUGUUUCAGGCUAAAUCACCCUCAAGACUUAUCAUUACUGGUUUCAGCAAUAUAGGCUUGCCCUUCCUUCUUCAAAGAGGUCAAUUUCAUGGAUGACAGUCCUCCAAGGUUAAAGAUUAUUCCUGAUCAUUUUCAAGUUCCAGCAUCAAGUUUUGAAUCUCCUGAGAACAGAACACCAACUAUUAUAGAACCUGGAACUGAUCAAUUUUCAAGUUCAAGGUCCUCCUUCCAUUUGAGGACUCGGAGAAAAUUAAGGAAGGCUUUCAUGUUGAAAUUGUUUACUCUCCGUGGGCUGCCGUGGGGGUCCAAUACUGAAGGUCAGGAAAAGGUUGAGUUAACAGCUGCAGAAGUAGAGUCGCUUCAAUCAGAAGUUGCUGAUAUAGAAGAGAGGGAAGCUCACUUGAAAGCUCAGUUGGAACACAUUGAUGAAGUUUUGCGAUCAGCUCGUUUAUCUGGCUAUCUAUCCAUUCGAACUGUACUGACAGUCUAGACCCUAAAUUUUGUUGCAUUGGUCUGUGCCUUGUUAUUUUAUUUACCUGACAAGUUUAACACUAUUUCGCUUGUAUCUUUCUCUUAGAGAUGGGCCACACUACCAGGAGAACCUCCACCAAUCGAUGAUAUUGAAGUAGAUGAUUGGCUUCCUCGUUUUGUUGUUCUCCAUGGAGCAUGUAUAUUCUUAUACUUCUUGUGUACAGAUUUAAGCCCUCAGGACUCAACACUUCUAUCUGAUAUUGUUGAAGU